rnacentral:lncRNA from 10 species
GUUUGUUUUUUUUUCUUUUUUUUGAGAUGGAGUCUCACUUUGUCACCCAGGCUGGAGUGCAGUGGCAUGAUCUUGGCUCACUGCAACCUCCACCUCCUGAGUUCAAGCAAUUCUCCUGCCUCAGCCUCCUGAGUAGUAGGGACUACCAGCUUACACUACCACGCCCAGCUGAUGUUUGUAUUUUUAGUAGAGACGGGGUUUCAUCAUAUUGGCCAGGCUGGUCUUGAACUCCUGACCUCAAGUGAUCCACCCGCCUCGGCCUCCCAAAGUGGUGGGAUUACAGGCAUGAGCCACCGCACCCGCCUAAGAAGGUGCUUUUGAGGUGACAACAGUGUUCUAAAUCUUAACUGGGAUUGUGGUUACAUGGGUCUAUACACUUAUUGGACUACUGAACCAUACAUUGUAAAUGGUUAUACUGUAUUGUAUGUAAGUUACACGAGAAUAAAGAUGAUUUAGAGAGUUAGAAACAAAACAAGAAUGAAGAAUGAUGCUUGUUUUGCUCACCAUCUAGCAGAAAAGCCAGACAUACAAAUAAUCAUCAAACAGUGGGAUGAGUGUUCAAAGUAUGUU